rnacentral:lncRNA from 1 species
UAUCAGCUAAUCAGGGCUCUUUGCUGACUUCCCUUCUUUCUUUUCUUGGCGUCGGUACUGGAGAUCGCACGGAUACUAUGUCGUCCCAUUCAUCUCAGAUUACGAAAAAAGAAUCCGAUAUUACUACACCCAUGAAAAAAUUGGCAGGACACCGCCUUUUAUUUUACAUAAACUGGUAAAAUAUCAUAUGCAGUAGUCUUCUAUCAAGAGAAUUGAGAGAUUUAAAGUAAAGUUGUAUCCUAAUAAAAUGUAGUUGCAGUGACAAGCAAUAAUCAAGACACAAAUAUGUAAAAGGUGUUCAAUCAAUGUACUGGAAAAGAGAGCGUAUGAAAUUUC